rnacentral:rRNA from 1 species
ACGCUCGACACCUACGGGAGGUAGCAGUGGGGAAUAUUGCACAAUGGGGGAAACCCUGAUGCAGCGACGCCGCGUGAGCGAAGAAGUAUUUCGGUAUGUAAAGCUCUAUCAGCAGGGAAGAAACUGACGGUACCUGACUAAGAAGCACCGGCUAAAUACGUGCAGCAGCCGCGGUAAUCUGAGCGGGCUGGCAAGGC